rnacentral:sRNA from 1 species
AGAGGAGAGGAGCGGCCGGAGCGAGACACUUCGCCGAGGCACAGCAGCCGGCAGGAUGGCGACCGUGGUGGUGGAAGCCACCGAGCCGGAGCCGUCCGGCAGCAUCGCCAACCCGGCGGCGUCCACCUCGCCCAGCCUGUCGCACCGCUUCCUUGACAGCAAGUUCUACCUGCUGGUGGUCGUCGGCGAGAUCGUGACCGAGGAGCACCUGCGGCGGGCCAUCGGCAACAUCGAGCUCGGAAUCCGAUCAUGGGACACAAACCUGAUUGAAUGCAACUUGGACCAAGAACUCAAACUUUUUGUGUCUCGACACUCUGCAAGAUUCUCUCCUGAAGUCCCAGGUGAGGAUUCCGCUCAGUGUUGGUCAGCCUAGAAUUCCAAAGGACAAGGAGCAAGCUAGAAAGCUUUGUCUGGGGCAGCAAAAAGACUGUCUUAUUGCUAAAAGGAUACUUUGUAUUUGUUAUUGUCAACUAGGUUAGCCACAGUUUAGGAAGUCACUCUAGGUUAUCACUGUGUGGGUUAUCUAUUUUGUGGAUUCUUAAUGAGUUUUUAAGUUCUAGGGUUG